rnacentral:rRNA from 1 species
ACGGGUGCGUAACGCGUAUGCAACCUGCCCCUAACCGGGACAAAACGUCGAGAAAUUGGCGCUAAUAUCCCAUGUGGACACUGGAUGGCAUCUUCCGGUGUCUAAAGAUUCAUUGGUUAGGGAUGGGCAUGCGUAACAUUAGCUUGUUGGCGGGGUAACGGCCCACCAAGGCGACGAUGUUUAGGGGUUCUGAGAGGAUGGUCCCCCACACUGGAACUGAGACACGGUCCAGACUCCUACGGGAGGCAGCAGUAGGGAAUAUUGGGCAAUGGAAGCAAUUCUGACCCAGCCAUGCCGCGUGCAGGAAGACGGCCCUAUGGGUUGUAAACUGCUUUUUCCGCGGAGUAACCGCCGGGACGCGUCCCGGCCUGAGAGUACGCGGGGAAUAAGUAUCGGCUAACUCCGUGCCAGCAGCCGCGGUAAUACGGAGGAUACGAGCGUUAUCCGGAUUCAUUGGGUUUAAAGGGUGCGCAGGCGGACCGGUAAGUCAGGGGUGAAAUACUGCAGCUCAACUGCAGCCGUGCCUUUGAUACUGCCGGACUGGAGUCCAAGGGGCGUGGCUGGAAUGUGGCGUGUAGCGGUGAAAUGCUUAGAUAUGCCACAGAACGCCGAUCGUGAAGACAGGCCGCGAACUUGGCACUGACGCUCAGCACGAAAGCGUGGGUAACAAACAGGAUUAGAUACCCUGGUAGUCCACGCCGUAAACGAUGAUCACUCGUUGUCGGGCAGCGAUGCUCGGUGGCCAAGCGAAAGCGAUAAGUGAUCCACCUGGGGAGUACGAUCGCAAGGUUGAAACUCAAAUGAAUUGACGG